CCUACGGGAGGCAGCAGUGAGGAAUAUUGGUCAAUGGCCGGAAGGCUGAACCAGCCAUGCCGCGUGAAGGUCAGUGCCCUAUGGGCGUUAAACUUCUUUUGUGCGGGAGCAAUAAUGGUCACGUGUGGCCAGACGAGAGUACCGUACGAAUAAGCAUCGGCUAACUUCGUGCCAGCAGCCGCGGUAAUACGGGGGAUGCAAGCGUUAUCCGGGUUUAUUGGGUUUAAAGGGUGCGUAGGCUGUGAGGUAAGUCAGCGGUGAAAUGCCCACGCUCAACGGGGUGAAGUGCCAUUGAUACUGCCUGGCUGGAAUGCGGAUGCCGUGGGAGGAAUGUGUGGUGUAGCGGUGAAAUGCAUAGAUAUCACACAGAACACCGAUUGCGAAGGCAUCUCACGAAUCCGCGAUUGACGCUGAUGCACGAAAGCGUGGGUAUCAAACAGGAUUAGAUACCCGGGUAGUC
rnacentral:rRNA from 1 species